rnacentral:rRNA from 1 species
UACGAAGGGGGCUAGCGUUGUUCGGAAUUACUGGACGUAAAGCGUGCGCAGGCGGCUUCUCAAGUCAGGGGUGAAAGCCCAGAGCUCAACUCUGGAAUUGCCCUUGAGACUGAGUGGCUUGAGUACGGGAGAGGUGAGUGGAAUUCCCAGUGUAGAGGUGAAAUUCGUAGAUAUUCGCAAGAACACCAGUGGCGAAGGCGGCUCACUGGCCCGGUACUGACGCUGAGGCACGAAAGCGUGGGGAGCAAACAGG